UACGGAGGGGGCUAGCGUUGCUCGGAAUCACUGGGCGUAAAGGGCAAGUAGGCGGCUCUGCAAGUCUGACGUGAAAGCCCUCGGCUCAACCGGGGAAUUGCAUCAGAAACUGCAGGGCUUGAGUCCGGGAGAGGUGGGCGGAAUUCCCGGUGUAGCGGUGAAAUGCGUUGAUAUCGGGAGGAACGCCGGAGGCGAAGGCGGCCCACUGGACCGGUACUGACGCUCAGAGGCGAAAGCUAGGGGAGCAAACGGG
rnacentral:rRNA from 1 species